UCCCUGGUGGCUCAGAGGUUAAAGCAUCUGUUUGUAAUUCGGGAGACCUGGGUUCGAUCCCUGGGUUGGGAA
rfam:TPA: Bos taurus chromosome 14, whole genome shotgun sequence.